rnacentral:rRNA from 1 species
AUCGAACGCUGGCGGCAGGCUUAACACAUGCAAGUCGAGCGGGGUGAUGGUGCUUGCACUAUCACUUAGCGGCGGACGGGUGAGUAAUGCUUAGGAAUCUGCCUAUUAGUGGGGGACAACAUCUCGAAAGGGAUGCUAAUACCGCAUACGUCCUACGGGAGAAAGCAGGGGAUCACUUGUGACCUUGCGCUAAUAGAUGAGCCUAAGUCGGAUUAGCUAGUUGGUGGGGUAAAGGCCUACCAAGGCGACGAUCUGUAGCGGGUCUGAGAGGAUGAUCAGCCACACUGGGACUGAGACACGGCCCAGACUCCUACGGGAGGUAGCAGUGGGGAAUAUUGGACAAUGGGGGGAACCCUGAUCCAGCCAUGCCGCGUGUGUGAAGAAGGCCUUAUGGUUGUAAAGCACUUUAAGCGAGGAGGAGGCUCUUUUGGUUAAUACCCAAGAUGAGUGGACGUUACUCGCAGAAUAAGCACCGGCUAACUCUGUGCCAGCCGCCGCCGUAA